AUACCAUGCUGAAUAUACCGGUUUUCGUUUUAUCACCGAAGUCAAGCAUCAUUGGGCGCGGUCAGUACUUGGGUGGGUGACCACCUGGGAACACCGCGUGCCGUU
rnacentral:rRNA from 1 species